AAAGAAAGUAGACAAGGGCGCAUGGCGGAUGCCUUGGCUCAUGGAGGCGAUGAAGGACGUGAUAAGCUGCGAUAAGCUUCGGGUAGGUGCAAAUAACCUUUGAUCCGGAGAUUUCCGAAUGGGACAACCCAGCUGCCACAAGGCAGUUAUCACUGUCAAUCAGUGAGGCGAACGGAGGGAACUGAAACAUCUUAGUACCUCCAGGAAGAGAAAAUAAAUGAAUGAUUCCCCCAGUAGUGGCGAGCGAACGGGGAAGAGCCCAAACCG
rnacentral:rRNA from 1 species